AAGUCGUAACAAGGUUUCCGUAGGUGAACCUGCGGAAGGAUCAUUAAUACGCUUUUGUUUGUAACAAAACAAAACGUUUUAAACUCCAAAAGAAAUAGUGGAAAUAUAACUUCCGGAUGCGAAUUGUUGGGAACUGAGUAAAAUCGGUUCUUUGAAAAAGGGACUUCAAGUAAUUGACACUUCAGAGUAGAGCAGUGAGGUGAAAUUCUCUUUAAUGAGAGGUUGGUUCUGAAAACAUUUGUAUCCGGUUAUCAUAAUCUGUUCUACAACCUCCAAAAUAUCAAACAAUAAACCCCAUGUACAACAACUUGAACUAAACAUUUUUUUGUCGUCCGCUUACACACUUGUUGUGUGAGAAGAUACUGCAAAGAAAAAACCUGAACUUAAGAACAACUCUUAACAACGGAUAUCUUGGUUCUC
rnacentral:misc_RNA from 1 species